rnacentral:lncRNA from 1 species
GAUGAGCUGGUGAUGCUGGGAGGAGAAGUGGCCACGCUGAGGGAUACUGUGGAGGAAGGAUUCAAAGCGAUGGAAGCUUGUUUUAAAGAAAUCAAGGAGAUGCUGAGCACGGAGGCGAGAUCCUCCGACCAAAACGACUAAGUUUUUUUCCCCUGAACUCGUAGAUUAGGUUUUAUUUUAUCUUUUGUUUUUUCUUGUUUUAGCGUCUGUUUUGUCUGUGUUAGAGUCGAGUCUACUUGCAUCGUUUGAUGGUGAAAGAUUGUGCAUGCUGAAUUCUGUCUUGGUAUGAUUGGUGGAUUGAGUAUGAAAAUGCAUGAUGGUAGUUGUGAGGAUACUGAAAAUACCCACCGGUGAGAUCAGGGCCAAAUUGAAAAAAUGCAUGCUUGUGGUGAGAAUUUGCUGUGACUAGGAAAUCUUGACUUUGUUUGAGGAC